GCCUCCUCUCAGUGCGCAGAUGCUAUCAUUUAAAUUGGAUGUUGUACGAAGAGCAAUCUGCAAGGUGUGUUCUGACACUUAGCCUCCUGCUGCCAUGCCCUCUGCCUUCCCUUUUGACUGUUUUAUCUGGCUCAAAAGAAUCUGUCAGUCAAGGUACCCAAGGACUUACCCUGACUUGUACCUCUGAAUUAGCUAGAAGAAGCCAAGGUGAUGCAUCUUUCCACUUACACCUGCAAAAAUGCACAAGAGACUUAUAACCGAGACAUAGCCUGAAGAAAGUUAAUGAGAU
rnacentral:lncRNA from 1 species